UACGUAGGGUGCAAGCGUUAAUCGGAAUUACUGGGCGUAAAGCGUGCGCAGGCGGUUAUGUAAGACAGAUGUGAAAUGCCCGGGCUUAACCUGGGAACUGCAUUUGUGACUGCAUGGCUAGAGUUUGGCAGAGGGGGGUAGAAUUCCACGUGUAGCAGUGAAAUGCGUAGAUAUGUGGAGGAACACCGAUGGCGAAGGCAGCCCCCUGGGUCAAGACUGACGCUCAUGCACGGAAGCGUGGGGAGCAAACAGG
rnacentral:rRNA from 1 species